rnacentral:misc_RNA from 1 species
GAGGUUUUGAAGAGAAUUUUCUAGUAUAUUUAUAAAUGUAAAAAUACUUUGUACAUUUUGCUAUAUACACAAGAAUCCUAACUAUACAAGAAAACCUAAAUCAACGGGAAACUAACAGAAAUAGGAAACAAGGUAUACAAAAGAAGAAAAAAUAGUAAGGAAAAAAUAAUAAUCCCUAUAAUACAAGGAUUUAAUUUCGGAUUUUGAGCACUCCCGCUCAAGUUGGUUCAUGUAUAUCACAAUGCCCAACUUGCAAAGUAGAGGAUGAUACAUUUUGCUGCUUAAUCCUUUAGUGAACACAUUGGCCAACUAAUCUUUAGAAGGCACAUGAGAUACAUUCAACUAUCCAUCCACAAUUUUAUCCUUUAUGAAGUAUCGAUCAAUUUCUAUAUAUUUGGUUCGAUCGUGCUAUACUGGAUUGUGGACCAUAUUGAUAGCAACUUUGUUAUCACAAAACAAGUAUAAACUAUUUGUUUCUGAUAAUUUUGGUUCUUCCAUUAACUUUCAUAACCACAACAAUUCACAAAAACCUUGAGCCAUGGCUUUAUAUUCAGCCUCUGCACUAGAUCUAGUAAUCACACUUUCUUUUUUACUUCUCCAAGUGACCCGGUUACCACCAACAAAAGUAUAAUAACUCAUUGCUGGCCUUCUAUCAUCCAUAGAUCCAGCCCAAUCUAUAUCUCUAAAAGUCUUUUUUUGAAGAUGUCCAUGAUUUGAGAAAAGAAGUCUUCUCAUAGGGGCAGAUUUCAAAUAUCUUAGAAUGCGAAAAACAGCUUCUAAAUGAAAUUUACGAGAAUCAUGUAUAUUGACUCACCGAACUUACUGCAAACACUAUAUCUGGUCUAAUGUGUGAAAGAUAGAUCAAUCUGCCAACUAAUCUCUGUUAUCUCCCUAAAUCCACUAACUUCUCAACUUCAGCUUGCAAUCUAUGAUUUGACCGGUGGGAAACUCUGCUGGUUUACGGCCCAACAUACCUAUUUCUUCCAAAAGAUCUAAUAUGUACUUCCUCUGAAAAAUAAAGAUCCCUUUAUCUAAUUUGCCAACCUCUAUUCCAAGAAAGUUCCUCAAUUUUCUCAAGUCCUUAAUUUCAAACUCCUAUGCUAGACGUUGCUUCAGAUUUGCAUUUUCUUCCUCAUCAUCUCCUGUCACUACUAUGUCAUCCAC